UUAUGGCUCAGGAUGAACGCUAGCUACAGGCUUAACACAUGCAAGUCGAGGGGCAGCAUUGGGAUAGCUGCUAUCCAGAUGGCGACCGGCGCACGGGUGAGUAACGCGUAUCCAACCUUCCCUAUAGUAGAGAAUAGCCCGGCGAAAGUCGGAUUAAUGCUCUAUGUUGUGUUUUGAGGACACCUGACGAACACCAAAGGUUCACCGCUAUAGGAUGGGGAUGCGUCUGAUUAGCUUGUUGGCGGGGUAACGGCCCACCAAGGCGACGAUCAGUAGGGGUUCUGAGAGGAAGGUCCCCCACAUUGGUACUGAGACACGGACCAAACUCCUACGGGAGGCAGCAGUGAGGAAUAUUGGUCAAUGGGCGAGAGCCUGAACCAGCCAAGUAGCGUGCAGGAAUGACUGCCCUAUGGGUUGUAAACUGCUUUUAUCAGGGAAUAAAGUGCGGCACGUGUGCCGUUUUGUAUGUACCUGAUGAAUAAGGACCGGCUAAUUCCGUGCCAGCCGCUGC
rnacentral:rRNA from 1 species